rnacentral:misc_RNA from 1 species
GAAAUGCGAUAAGUAGUGUGAAUUGCAGAAUUCAGUGAAUCAUCGAAUCUUUGAACGCACAUUGCGCCCUUUGGUAUUCCUUAGGGCAUGCCUGUUCGAGCGUCAUCUAAACCUUCAAGCCCUGCUUGGUGUUGGUUGCCUGUCCCGCCUCCGCGCGCGGACUCACCUCAAAUCCAUUGGCGGCCCCCGCGUCGGCCACGAGCGCAGCAGAAACGCGAACUCGUGAGCCCGUCCGGGCGGCUCCCAGAAGCUACACCCACCCAGUUUGACCUCGGAUCAGGUAGGGAUACCCGCUGAACUUAAGC